CCUACGGGAGGCAGCAGUGAGGAAUAUUGGUCAAUGGACGAGAGUCUGAACCAGCCAAGUAGCGUGAAGGAUGACUGCCCUAUGGGUUGUAAACUUCUUUUAUAUGGGAAUAAAGUUCAGUAUGUAUACUGUUUUGUAUGUACCUUAUGAAUAAGGAUCGGCUAACUCCGUGCCAGCAGCCGCGGUAAUACGGAGGAUCCGAGCGUUAUCCGGAUUUAUUGGGUUUAAAGGGAGCGUAGGCGGGUGUUUAAGUCAGUUGUGAAAGUUUGCGGCUCAACCGUAAAAUUGCAAUUGAUACUGGUAGUCUUGAGUGCAGCAGAGGUAGGCGGAAUUCGUGGUGUAGCGGUGAAAUGCUUAGAUAUCACGAAGAACUCCGAUUGCGAAGGCAGCUUACUAGACUGUAACUGACGCUGAUGCUCGAAAGUGUGGGUAUCAAACAGGAUUAGAUACCCCAGUAGUC
rnacentral:rRNA from 1 species